CUUUUUCUUUGCCAAUAAACCACACCUCCCAUGGUGUCAGGCGGCUUUCUGGUAAGCGCACCUGUUUCUGUUCUUCUUGGUUAUUUUCUGAUUCAACCUGAGUGCUGGCGCACCCCUGUAACUCCAUUCCUCUCAGGCUCGCCACUUUGGCCUCUGAAUCAUGGGCAUCUUCAUCCACGUCUUCCUCAUCAUCCACGUCUUCCUCAUCC
rnacentral:lncRNA from 1 species